CCUACGGGUGGCAGCAGUGAGGAAUAUUGGACAAUGGACGCAAGUCUGAACCAGCCAUGCCGCGUGCAUGAAGACGGCUCUCUGAGUUGUAAACUGCUUUUGUACGAAGGUAAACGCAGAUACGUUGAUCUGUCUGAAAGUAUCGUACGCAUAAGGAUCGGCUAACUCCGUGCCAGCAGCCGCGGUAAUACGGAGGAUUCAAGCGUUAUCCGGAUUUAUUGGGUGUAAAGGGUGCGUAGGCGGUCGGAUAAGUUAGAAGUGAAAUCCCGGGGCUCAACUUCGGAAUUGCCUCUGAUACUGUUCGGCUAGAGAGUAGUUGCGGUAGGCGGAAUGUAUGGUGUAGCGGUGAAAUGCUUAGAGAUCAUACGGAACACCGAUGGCGAAGGCAGCUUACCAAGCUACUUCUGACGUUGAGGCACGAAAGCGUGGGGAGCAAACAGGAUUAGAUACCCGGGUAGUC
rnacentral:rRNA from 1 species